rfam:Streptomyces sp. NRRL S-444 contig83.6, whole genome shotgun sequence.
GUCGUGACUGCGUGCCUUUUGAAGAAUGAGCCUGCGAGUUAGCGGUGUGUAGCGAGGUUAACCCGUGUGGGGAAGCCGUAGCGAAAGCGAGUCCGAAUAGGGCGAUUGAGUUGCACGCUCUAGACCCGAAGCGGAGUGAUCUAGCCAUGGGCAGGUUGAAGCGGAGGUAAGACUUCGUGGAGGACCGAACCCACCAGGGUUGAAAACCUGGGGGAUGACCUGUGGUUAGGGGUGAAAGGCCAAUCAAACUCCGUGAUAGCUGGUUCUCCCCGAAAUGCAUUUAGGUGCAGCGUCGUGUGUUUCUUGCCGGAGGUAGAGCACUGGAUAGGCGAUGGGCCCUACCGGGUUACUGACCUUAGCCAAACUCCGAAUGCCGGUAAGUGAGAGCACGGCAGUGAGACUGUGGGGGAUAAGCUCCAUGGUCGAGAGGGAAACAGCCCAGAGCAUCGACUAAGGCCCCUAAGCGUACGCUAAGUGGGAAAGGAUGUGGAGUCGCAGAGACAACCAGGAGGUUGGCUUAGAAGCAGCCACCCUUGAAAGAGUGCGUAAUAGCUCACUGGUCAAGUGAUUCCGCGCCGACAAUGUAGCGGGGCUCAAGCGUACCGCCGAAGUCGUGUCAUUGCAGCAAUAGGGCCAACGCCUGCUGUGAUGGGUAGGGGAGCGUCGUGUGCCGGGUGAAGCAGCAGCGGAAGCUAGUUGUGGACGGUUCACGAGUGAGAAUGCAGGCAUGAGUAGCGAUACACACGUGAGAAACGUGUGCGCCGAUUGACUAAGGGUUCCUGGGUCAAGCUGAUCUGCCCAGGGUAAGUCGGGACCUAAGGCGAGGCCGACAGGCGUAGUCGAUGGACAACCGGUUGAUAUUCCGGUACCCGCUUUGAAACGCCCAAUAUCGAAUCAGGCGAUGCUAAGUCCGUGAAGCCGUUCCGGACCCUUCGGGGAAAGGAAAGUGGUGGAGCCGACGAACCAGACUUGUAGUAGGUAAGCGAUGGGGUGACGCAGGAAGGUAGUCCAGCCCGGGCGGUGGUUGUCCCGGGGUAAGGGUGUAGGCCGAGGGGUAGGCAAAUCCGUCCCUCAUAUAAGGCUGAGACCUGAUGCCGAGCCGAUUGUGGUGAAGUGGAUGAUCCUAUGCUGUCGAGAAAAGCCUCUAGCGAGUUUCAUGGCGGCCCGUACCCUAAACCGACUCAGGUGGUCAGGUAGAGAAUACCGAGGCGUUCGGGUGAACUAUGGUUAAGGAACUCGGCAAAAUGCCCCCGUAACUUCGGGAGAAGGGGGGCCAUCACUGGUGAUCGGACUUGCUCCGUGAGCUGGGGGUGGCCGCAGAGACCAGCGAGAAGCGACUGUUUACUAAAAACACAGGUCCGUGCGAAGCCGUAAGGCGAUGUAUACGGACUGACGCCUGCCCGGUGCUGGAACGUUAAGGGGACCGGUUAGUGCGCUUUCGGGCGUGCGAAGCUGAGAACUUAAGCGCCAGUAAACGGCGGUGGUAACUAUAACCAUCCUAAGGUAGCGAAAUUCCUUGUCGGGUAAGUUCCGACCUGCACGAAUGGCGUAACGACUUCUCGACUGUCUCAACCAUAGGCCCGGUGAAAUUGCACUACGAGUAAAGAUGCUCGUUUCGCGCAGCAGGACGGAAAGACCCCGGGACCUUUACUACAGUUUGAUAUUGGUGUUCGGUUCGGCUUGUGUAGGAUAGGUGGGAGACUUUGAAACCCCAACGCCAGUUGGGGUGGAGUCGCCGUUGAAAUACCACUCUGGUCGUGCUGGAUGUCUAACCUCGGUCCGUGAUCCGGAUCAGGGACAGUGUCUGAUGGGUAGUUUAACUGGGGCGGUUGCCUCCCAAAGGGUAACGGAGGCGCCCAAAGGUUCCCUCAGCCUGGUUGGCAAUCAGGUGUUGAGUGUAAGUGCACAAGGGAGCUUGACUGUGAGACCGACGGGUCGAGCAGGGACGAAAGUCGGGACUAGUGAUCCGGCGGUGGCUUGUGGAAGCGCCGUCGCUCAACGGAUAAAAGGUACCCCGGGGAUAACAGGCUGAUCUUCCCCAAGAGUCCAUAUCGACGGGAUGGUUUGGCACCUCGAUGUCGGCUCGUCGCAUCCUGGGGCUGGAGUCGGUCCCAAGGGUUGGGCUGUUCGCCCAUUAAAGCGGUACGCGAGCUGGGUUUAGAACGUCGUGAGACAGUUCGGUCCCUAUCCGCUGUGCGCGUAGGAAUAUUGAGAAGGGCUGUCCCUAGUACGAGAGGACCGGGACGGACGAACCUCUGGUGUGCCAGUUGUCCUGCCAAGGGCAUGGCUGGUUGGCUACGUUCGGGAGGGAUAACCGCUGAAAGCAUCUAAGCGGGAAGCCUGCUUCAAGAUGAGUAUUCCCACCUCCUUGAGAGGGUAAGGCUCCCAGUAGACGACUGGGUUGAUAGGCCAGAUGUGGAAGCCCGGUAACGGGUGGAGCUGACUGGUACUAAUAGGCCGAGGGCUUGUCCUC